AUAGAGUGACUUGGCUUGUAAGCAGAGUUUGAACCCGAGCGGCGAUGGUUCGAUUCCCAUACUUGCCAUCUGCAUACGCUCUGUACUCUUCUCAGUACACCUUCAGCCAGCUUAAUCUGGCAAGUCUGUAGAGCUCCAGACUUGCCAGCCUAACCUGGCGAGUCUGUAGAGCUCCAGACUCACUCUGCCUUUUUACCCUUUUCUUCAAAUCCCUCCUUAACUUUUGCCUGGAAACACGGCAAUUUUUCACACACAACAUGGCUUCAAUCUCUCAACAAACGCUCCCAACUCACUCAAUUUCCGCUCCAUCCACACAAUUUACACAUCAAAACAUAGCGAUUUUCCUCACUGUCAUUAGUUAGUUUUCCUUAGUAGAUAGUUUUCCAGUUACACAAGGUUUUGUAACAGCAAGAAACGGCGGUUUUAACUUCUCAUUGUACACUAGAAAUUUAAGCUUUGUUCAUAGAGCUGGCGGUAGCCCAGGUUUAGCUCAGCCAGUAGAGAAGGCGUUAUCGGUCCUGGUUCAAAACCUCCCAGCAGCAGUAUGUUUUGAGCACACACCUCAGCUUUUUUUGCCUCUUUUCAGCAGACCAUUUGCAGCUACACCAGUCACUACUUUACAUCCUUUCUUUUUUUGGUGGAUAUACCAGUGCUUACAGAGUCCACAUUAAUAUCAACAGCUACAUCCAUCCCGGGAAAUGUGUGGUGAGGGAGAACAUCAGGACCAAGCUGGGUUUUCUUGGUCCAGAGGUCUGGAGAAACUUCUUCCCUUUCUUUCAUCACAGCUGUCUUGUGCCAGAUGUUCUAUUGACCCACUGAGAGAGGCAUAAUUUUAGAAACAUCAGGAAGACUGAAGCUCAUCGCAGGAAUCAAGAAGGACCUCGAGAUCUUCACCACCAGCUCCCUCACAAGGAAAUCUUCCGAAGUCCACUGUAGGCACGGCCCAGAAGAUGGAUAAACCCAGCAUUUCAUGAACACACUGGAACCAAUCUAUCUUCAUAACAUGUCAAAUGUCAAACAGCUGGAAAGGAAACUACACCAGUGCACUGGGAUGUUUCCCCAACUCGUGCCAGACGCUGUUCCUGCCUGUGAAGGUAACAUCAGCAGAGACAGCCCGCCUACCUCAGGACCUCGCCAAGUCACGUAUUGAUCACGAUGGUUAUGAAGAUGACAGCGAGCGGAAGACUGUAAAAAUCCACCACCAGAAUGUUUAGAUGCUUUCUAAUUAUUAAUGAAUAUCGUGUUUGUGUGUUUUGGGUUUUGUUUUUUUGGCCUCAUUUGUUACUAACAAAGGUCACCAAGCUCAGUUUACAUUCUGUAUGUGUUUUCAUCUUUAGCAGCCACACUCUGACUGCAAUUAAGAAAAACACAAACUUUUAAAUAUUGAAGGGGUUCAGGUAGAGCCGGCUUAUGAAUUACUAUGAACACUUACCAUACUGUACCUGUACAACAUGUUUUUGUAUGAGACAGAUUUGUAACAGAGGCCUUAGUCUCAGUAAGUUUGAAGUCCUUUCCUGAUUUAUUUUGCAAUCUCUGCUCUUUCAUUGAUGAUAAUUCAGUGCUGCUUCCCUUUUUCCCCUCCCGCAUCACUUUGUUAAAUUUUUCAGUGUCCAGUUUUUUUUAUUUCUGUUUGAGUUCAUUGUGUGCUUGACCCUGCAGACUGUUUGAUGGGCUCCUUGUCUUGUAACCGCUGCCUGUUUUUGACCAAAGAUUUGGACUUUUGACUUUAAUUCAGCCUCUGCAUGUCCUCCCUUUGUGUCCUCUGUGAAUGUGUUCCAUGUGUCACAAAUGUUUUCAUUUUAAUAACACAGGUUUCCCACAGUGGGUUGCAGCAGCAUUUGUUCACAGCACAUUCGAGAAAGUUGAUUCAGAUGACUACAGUGAUAUUAAAGUCAGAUUUAUCCUGACGGUGUGUCACUGUGAAUUAUUAUCUUUCAC